rnacentral:rRNA from 1 species
GAAUUGUAGUUUAUAGAAGCGUUUUCGGUGGCAGCCUGGGUAUAAAUCCUUUGGAAUAGGGUAUCAUAGAGGGUGAGAAUCCCGUCUUUGACUCAGUGCAUGCUACUAUGUGAUACGUUUUCAAAGAGUCGAGUUGUUUGGGAAUGCAGCUCAAAAUGGGUGGUAAAUUUCAUCUAAAGCUAAAUAUUGGCGAGAGACCGAUAGCGAACAAGUACCGUGAGGGAAAGAUGAAAAGAACUUUGAAAAGAGAGUUAAACAGUGCGUGAAAUUGUUGAAAGGGAAACGCUUGACACCAGUCAUGCGAGUGGAAAAUCAGUCUUUUGCAGUGGGGAGUUGUGGGCGUUCAGACCGCAAGGCUGGCGUUUGCUUCAUCUUUGUUGUAAGUGAUGCACUUUUUCAUUUGCAGGUCAACAUCAGUUUGCUUUGCUGGACAAAACCCCAAGGGAAGGUGGCAGCUUAGGCUGUGUUAUAGCCCUGGGGCGAUACAGUGGAGUGGACUGAGGUUUUCGCAGUGUGUGCUCUCUGGGCAAGGCUGACUGGGUGCUAUGGGAUCGUUCGGCGUACAAUGCAUGCAUUUUGCGCCGUGUCUUUUUCAUACUCGCUCAACUCGGCUCUUCCACACUUAGGAUGUUGACUUAAUGGUUUUAAUCGACCCGUCUUGAAACACGGACCAAGGAGUCUAACAUAUAUGCAAGUGUUUGGGUGGCAAACCCAUGCGCGUAAUGAAAGUGAACGUAGGUGCCAUCCGCAAGGUGCAGCAUCGACCGAUCUUGAUAUUUUUGGAUAGAUUUGAGUAAGAGCAUAUAUGCUGGGACCCGAAA